AGAUUGAACGCUGGCGGCAUGCUUUACACAUGCAAGUCGAACGGCAGCACGGGGGCAACCCUGGUGGCGAGUGGCGAACGGGUGAGUAAGACAUCGGAACGUGUCCUAUUGUGGGGGGAUAACCAGUCGAAAGACGGACUAAUACCGCAUAAGCUGGAGACAGGAAAGCGGGGGACCUGCGAGGGCCUCGCGCGAUUGGAGCGGCCGAUGUCCGAUUAGCUAGUUGGUAGGGUAAAGGCCUACCAAGGCGACGAUCGGUAGCUGGUCUGAGAGGAUGAUCAGCCACACUGGGACUGAGACACGGCCCAGACUCCUACGGAGGCAGCAGGUGGGGUAAUUUGGACAAGUGGGGCAACCCUGAUCCAGCCAUGCCGCGUGAGUAGAAGAACGGCCGUUCGGUUGUAAAGCGUCGUUUACGGUGGAACGGUAAACGGUGGAGUAGACUAGUAGCGU
rnacentral:rRNA from 1 species